ACUCAUUGCUGCUGAUCAUUCCGACAGCCAGCACGACAGUACAAUAAACGUCAUUUGAUUGAAUGAAAAACCGAGGGGGAAGGGGGAAAGGUUAGGCUAUCUGACACGCAUGCUACACGCACGGAGAGUGUCAAAGCACAGGCUACUUUGCACUGGCAGCCAAGCGAGCGGGUGUGUCAACAACGACAGCAGAACUUCGUACAAUGUGUCUUUGCUGGUGGAUGCUUCUACUGAAUGUGAUUAUGACUGGAGUUACAACGGGACCAAUAUUGCCAGUGAUGGAGGAUAUUUGAGAGGUGUUGUUUUGGAGAACAAACGUGACAUCAUGAUCCUACCUUCAUGCCAGUCCCUAGUUCAAUAUUGGGUGCAAUGCA